AAUCGAUGGGGGGACGCAGUAGGAUAGGCGAAGCGUGCGAUUGGAUUGCACGUCUAAGCAGUAAGGCUGAGUAUUAGGCAAAUCCGGUACUCGUUAAGGCUGAGCUGUGAUGGGGAGAAGACAUUGAGUCUUCGAGUCGUUGAUUUCACACUGCCGAGAAAAGCCUCUAGAUAGAAAAUAGGUGCCCGUACCGCAAACCGACACAGGUAGUCAAGAUGAGAAUUCUAAGGUGAGCGAGCGAACUCUCGUUAAGGAACUCGGCAAAAUGACCCCGUAACUUCGGGAGAAGGGGUGCUCUUUAGGGUUAACGCCCAGAAGAGCCGCAGUGAAUAGGCCCAAGCGACUGUUUAUCAAAAACACAGGUCUCUGCUAAACCGUAAGGUGAUGUAUAGGGGCUGACGCCUGCCCGGUGCUGGAAGGUUAAGAGGAGUGGUUAGCUUCUGCGAAGCUACGAAUCGAAGCCCCAGUAAACGGCGGCCGUAACUAUAACGGUCCUAAGGUAGCGAAAUUCCUUGUCGGGUAAGUUCCGACCCGCACGAAAGGCGUAACGAUUUGGGCACUGUCUCAACGAGAGACUCGGUGAAAUCAUAGUACCUGUGAAGAUGCAGGUUACCCGCGACAGGACGGAAAGACCCCGUGGAGCUUUACUGUAGCCUGAUAUUGAAAUUCGGCACAGCUUGUACAGGAUAGGUAGGAGCCUUUGAAACGUGAGCGCUAGCUUACGUGGAGGCGCUGGUGGGAUACUACCCUAGCUGUGUUGGCUUUCUAACCCGCACCACUUAUCGUGGUGGGAGACAGUGUCAGGCGGGCAGUUUGACUGGGGCGGUCGCCUCCUAAAAGGUAACGGAGGCGCUCAAAGGUUCCCUCAGAAUGGUUGGAAAUCAUUCAUAGAGUGUAAAGGCAUAAGGGAGCUUGACUGCGAGACCUACAAGUCGAGCAGGGUCGAAAGACGGACUUAGUGAUCCGGUGGUUCCGCAUGGAAGGGCCAUCGCUCAACGGAUAAAAGCUACCCCGGGGAUAACAGGCUUAUCUCCCCCAAGAGUUCACAUCGACGGGGAGGUUUGGCACCUCGAUGUCGGCUCAUCGCAUCCUGGGGCUGUAGUCGGUCCCAAGGGUUGGGCUGUUCGCCCAUUAAAGCGGUACGCGAGCUGGGUUCAGAACGUCGUGAGACAGUUCGGUCCCUAUCCGUCGUGGGCGUAGGAAAUUUGAGAGGAGCUGUCCUUAGUACGAGAGGACCGGGAUGGACAUACCUCUGGUGUACCAGUUGUCGUGCCAACGGCAUAGCUGGGUAGCUAUGUGUGGACGGGAUAAGUGCUGAAAGCAUCUAAGCAUGAAGCCCCCCUCAAGAUGAGAUUUCCCAACUUCGGUUAUAAGAUCCCUCAAAGAUGAUGAGGUUAAUAGGUUCGAGGUGGAAGCAUGGUGACAUGUGGAGCUGACGAAUACUAAUCGAUCGAAGACUUAAUCAA
rnacentral:rRNA from 1 species